rnacentral:misc_RNA from 1 species
GAUGAAGAACGCAGUGAAAUGCGAUAAGUAAUGUGAAUUGCAGAAUUCAGUGAAUCAUCGAAUCUUUGAACGCACAUUGCGCCCGCCAGUAUUCUGGCGGGCAUGCCUGUUCGAGCGUCAUUACAACCCUCAGGCCCCCGGGCCUGGCGUUGGGGAUCGGCGGAGCCCCCCGUGGGCACACGCCGUCCCCCAAAUACAGUGGCGGUCCCGCCGCAGCUUCCAUCGCGUAGUAGCUAACACCUCGCAACUGGAGAGCGGCGCGGCCAUGCCGUAAAACACCCAACUUCUGAAUGUUGACCUCGAAUCAGGUAGGAAUACCCGCUGAACUUAAGCAUAUCAAUAAGCGGAGGA